rnacentral:rRNA from 1 species
CCUACGGGAGGCAGCAGUGGGGAAUAUUGCGCAAUGGGCGAAAGCCUGACGCAGCGACGCCGCGUGAGGGAUUAAGGUCCUCGGAUCGUAAACCCCUGUCAGUAGGGAAGAACGGUCACUGUGCUAAUCCGCAGUGAAUUGACGGUACCUGCAAAGUACGCACCGGCUCACUCCUUACCAGCAGCCGCGGUAAUACGGGGGGUGCGGGCCUUAAUCGGAAUUACUGGGAGUAAGUCGCUCGUGGGCGGUAUGUCAAGUCAAGGGUGAAAUCCCCGCGCUCAACGUGGGAACUGCGAGUGAAACGGGAAAACAGGAGGGUGUGGGAGGAUAGUGGAAUGGCAGGGGUAGGGGUGAAAGCGGUA